GGCGGAGCCAUCUUAUGGUUAGGGGUUCACCCGAACUCUUUAGUAAAAAAUUAUAUUAUUUAUAUAUAGUUAAAAAAAAAAAAAAUUAUGUAUAGAUAAUUGAUGUUGAAACCUUCAACUUAUUCGUGUAUCUACUUAUUUUGAUUUUGAACUCCCUUAAUAAAAAUUCUGACUUUGCUACUUAUUUUUAAUAUAAUAC
rnacentral:lncRNA from 1 species